UUGAAUUUGAUAUUUAAUGUCAAGCUCCAUUAAUUUAUUAGAAGAACAUUUACAUAAAAACAUGCCCUAUAGGCUAUAGAUAAGAAAGGAGCCUCAAAUACCGCAUUAGCUCUUAUUUUAGUGUAAGAUAUUUUACUACAUACACACAUAUUAUUAUGGCCUUGUUCAAUUGCAUGCUUGCAACGAGAGAUUGCCAUUACAAGAUUACACACAUAGAGAUAGUACCGACAUUGUUGUCCAAAAAUCCGGCGUUGUUAGGGUUAGCACCAUAUCUUAUGUUGGAGUGGGAGUCGGAGUCGAAAAAUCGGGCAUUGUUAGGGUUUGCACCAAAUCUUAUGUUCGAGUUGGAGUUGGCAAAUCCUGCAACAUCCUCCUCCGAGAUGUUAGUUCUGAUUUUAGCGUGGCCCGUGUUGUUCACACCAAAUCUUUUGUUGGCAAGUCCCUUUAAGUAGUCAACGUCCUCCUUCGAGAUCUUAGCUCUGAUUUUAACGAGGCGUGGGUCGUACUCAUCAAUUCUUUUGUUGGAGUUGGCAAAUCCCUUCAAGUAGUCAAAGUCCUCCACAGAGAUCUUAGCUUGGAUUGUAGCAAUGCGCGAUUCGUCCACAUCAAAUCUGUUGUUGAAGUUGGAGUUGGAAUAUCCCCUCAAUUGAUGAUCGCCCUUAGCUUCGAUUUCAAUGCUCCCACCCCGAAUUCCAACAAAUUUGUGGUUGUUAUUUUUAAGAUAGGGUUUGGGGUUGAUUUCAUCGUCCCAACCCCUAAACCUUAAACAGCCUUGGUUGCAGAAGUUGGUUUGAUCUUGAUUCGACGUCAUUGUCUGUCUCACUGAUAAGUUUUUAGGUUAUGGUGUGUGUUUGCUCUGAUGAUCAACUCAUUGCCUCAUGGUUGGUCUCCUUUUAUAGUUAUUUGAAUGUGCAAAAGCAGAAGAUAUUUUAUAACAGCCGAUACCCUGAGCAUAAUACAGAUUCUAUAUUGAUCAAAUUCUAUACAUUUUAUCUUCUUGGAAUAAUAUUCUACAGUGACAGAUAGUACAGUCGUAGUGGCCUUUCUUAUUAGAGGAUCUUUUUAACUUCUUUGGCAAUACAUCUCAUUCAAGUUACUGAUGACUAUCUCUAUAUGUACAGUCAGCAGGCUUCACAUGUUAGUUGUUAGAAACUGUUAAGAGUUUGUUAGUAGCUUACUUAAGCUUUCAGUAAGCAUACUAUAAGUAUGCUAAUGUAUACUGUAAUUCAUUCUUAACAAAUAUGCAAAUCAGAAUAUACAUCUUCUUCUUUGAUUUAUCUCUGCCUUCUCUCUACUUUCUUUAGCUUCCUUCAAUUCUAGUCUGAAAAUACCUGUAGGAUAUCUAUAUAUGCCUGCAGAAAGUUAAACAAGCUAAUUCGAAUUUUUUGCAAUAAAUAACGAUCAACCUUUGAAGCAGUAUUGAUAUUAGUUAUCAAUCCUAAGAUGUGCAAAGCUUAAAAUAAAAGAACACGCAGAGAAUUAUUUUACGUGGUAAAACCCCACAUCUGGGGAAAAUCCACGGGACUCCUCAGUCCAACUCAAAUCCACUAUAGAACGAUGAUUACAAGAAGUACUCACACACUUAUCCUAGACUCAUUCUAGAUAAUGUUUACCGACUUCUUCGUAACUCAACUUCUGUCACGGGAUGAUCUUCGACACUCCUUAUGUUGAACACAAUACUGGCCACGAUUGCUUCAAGCUCGCAGGAGGAAAACCGCCACCACGGUCUUGGUGCACUCAACCGUAUGAGUCACCGACAUGCAUAUGAAUGCAAUAUGAAUGAUUAAAGUGUUUGAUAAAUCACCAAGUAAACAUGGAACACUUGAUGAUUUAUCUCAAAUAUGUGCACAACAGCUUUUGCUUAAGAAUUCUAUAUGCUCAACCCAUAUCGAAAAGUCUCGAAAAAACCAAAGAGAUGCAAGCUGCUUUUAUUCAAAGCUUCCUAUACCUAGUCAGAUCAGAUCACACGAGUACCAAACCCACUUCAAUUAUAACUAUAAACUUUUAGCUUAAUUUGGACUCUUAUGAAGACCACAAUUGGUUUUCCAACAUGAAUACAAGUUCAAUAUGGAUUCUUAUUGAAAAACGCCAACCAAUCAAUUUUUAAUAGAAAAACAAUAUCUAUUAAACCAAUAUCUAUUAAAACAAAAAAACUCAAACUAGGAAUCCUAUAAUGAAUGCAUGAUUAUGUCAUGAUUUACCUGAAAUUAAGUUUCUCAUAUCGGUCAAGUCAAGCCUCGGAUGUAUGGGGUUGAAUGAGUUGUGCCAAAACGUCCAGUAACAAUUCUUCACACACUAAUUUUCAACCUAUGAUAGAGUCUAGGAAAUGACAAUACAAUUUUCAUACUAACAAUCUCCCCCUUUGGCAUUUCCUAGACAAAACACCUAUUACAACUCAAAAGAAAUUACAUGGGAUUCAACAAAUGAAAUCCUACUCUAAACUCAAGGCUCUGAAUCCCUGCACAUUAUGAAACAACAAAACCAGUGAAGCAUGUGGGAGAAGAAAUGUAAUUCAAGGCAAAAUUACAACACCACUCCCCCUUAAUUCUACAACACAAUCUCUCCCCCCUUUUAUUAUAAUUUCACAAUCAUCUCUUCCCCUUUUUGUCAGGAAAUCCAAAGAGCAAGGAAAGAGUACAAGGGAGCAUAUAUAAAGGCAAAAAUAAGAGGAAAAAUUCAGUUGUGCCACAAGUCUGCAACUGGCAGGAUUGAUAAUGAAGCUGCAAUCCUCAGGUUCAAUUUAUCAUGUAUCCGUCUUAGUAACAUGAAGGAAAGCCUAACUGCACAAUUAAACAAGAAGUAAAAACCUACACUAUGUUUGAAAACAAAAACAAAUUCGUUUUUUUAUUUUUUUUUAUUUUUAAAAUGUAAAAGAUAAAGCCACUGAAUAAAAAAAACUGAAAAAUAUAUAUACAUAGAUAAGCCACACUUAGAAAAGAGACAAAACCACAAAGACAUCAAUCAAAACAUCAAUUACUAUGCUUAAUAAGAACCCAAGACUCCUCCUUCAUUCAUGCCAAAAUUUUUUUUGAGUACAUGCCAACACUAUGCAUAAGAAUAGACAAGCAAAGUCAAUACCAAUAUCUAUCUAGAAGCAUUUGGAAGCAAAGCCUUUCAAGAUCGAAGGCACAUCAAAUCACAAAGGUUUAAUCAAAUACUAGGAUUAUAAAAUGGGAAUCAAAAGUAUUUGUAAGAGAUAAAGUCCAUCAAAAGAGCAAAUAUUAAAUCUCAAUCUCGUGUUAUGUGACCAAACUUACUUAAUAACAAAGAAAAAAUCCAAUCAAGAGCAAGCCAAGAACAUAGAAUAAACACAUACAAAAUGCAUACAGAGGUCACCACUUUCAUUUUUUCCCUUUUUUUUUAAAUUUUAUUUAUUUAUUUAUUUUUUUUAAUGCUAACUUUAUUAAGCUUUCUACAAGACUCAUGUAACGGGUGUUAAAUCAAUGUGCUCAAAUCAGAUGACUUUAAGACAAUGGGUGUUAAAGCACCCCUAGGAUGUGCUAACCCGAGUCAUGUAGGCUACAAAGAAGAACAAAGUGUAUAAGAUCAAAGCUUUUUGACGCGAGCCUCGACGUUGGUUAGACAAGAGGCCCGGUUACUUGGCAAGGAUCAAACACUUAUUUUACUUUUCUUUUAAUUAAAGAGAUGUUACAAAAAUGUGAGCUCAGUAGCAAAAAGUAUAAUGCAAAUCUAGUAUCAAGACAAGGGCAAGAUGAGGAUUCAUUCAAAAUUAUUAAACAAGAUUAGAGUGUAUGUGCUAAAUGAGAGACAUGAGAUAUAAUAUAAAGAGCAUUUAAUUGACUUUAUAAAAAACAAAGACAGUCGAGAACCAUUCACAUAAACCCAAUCUUAAUCUGCCCAAUGUGAUCCAACGCCAAAAAUCCAGUCUAAGAUCAGCAAAAACUUCCAGAGGUCAGUAGGAUUGAUAUAGCUUAUCAAUCCCUGCAUGUGCUGAACAAAAUACUUAGAAUUUAAACAAAUUUCAAAAACUGAUAAGAGAAUAGCUGGAGUCUUUUGGCAUGCAUGCAAACAAUUAUUCAAAAGAACAAAUACCUAAAGAUUUUCUAAGAGUGUCAAAUCGAAGAUUAUCCAAGGGUUUUGCAAUAAGACAUUUAAGAUCCAAAUUUUCUAAAGCAACGGGUUCAUGCACAACAUUAGUGGAGGCAAACAUACAAUUAUGAUUUUCCUUUUUCCUCCACACUAACUUUGUCUUAGUUGACGGCAAACAAUGAAAAGAAGAUAGUUUAGAUAAGCGGUUUACCUCUUUCAUAAGAUUUGAAAUCUUAUGUUGGAUGCUUACUUUUCCACCCAUGCCAUGAGAAUUUGAAUGAACAAAUUCAUUUCGAAGCUUAUUGCAUCUUGGUCUUAUGUGCCCACGAGUUCCGCAAAAGUGACAAAUUGGAAUAAAUUUUUUGACUUCAUGAGCGGCAGAAGGUUCAAUAGGUGAAGUAGAUUUGACAAACUUUGUUUUAGACACAGCGGAAGACUUAUUACUUGGUUGAAAUCCCAAGCCUCGUUUGUCACCAUCUCUUCGUCCCAUGCUAAUCAUCUUGUCAAUUUUUUCUGCACCAAUGGUUAAAGAAACAAUCCUUUCCUUUGAAUUUUUAAGUUCAAGUUCAAGGGCUUUGUUGUCAGAAGUUAGAGAAGCAAUUAAUUUAUUCUGAUCAGUCAAUUUUUUCUACAAAAACAUCAAUUUUUCGUUCAUACCUGCACUUACCUUUUCGGAAUCUGCAUCAGGGGAUUGAAACUCGUUUGCAAUCCUGCAAUUUUCCAGCUUCAGCACAGCAACUUCUUUACAAUCAUCAUCCUCAUGUGAUUCAUCCAAGCUAACUGUGGUUAUGAGUGCAACCAUCUUUUCAUCAUUCUCGCAUUCCGAUUCACUAUCACUUCAAGUAGUAUGCAUUGCCUUAUUCUUGCCAUCCUUUUGUUUCUUUAAGGUGUUGGCACAUUCCGAAGAUAUGUGUCCAUAGCCUUCACAUUCGAAACAUUGGACCUUUUCUCUUGGAUUCUUUCGUUCAUUUGACCUGCGAAAUUUAGACCUACCAUCAGUAUAGUUAACAAACCUAUUUUUAGAAUUUAUACCUUUUGAAUCUCGACUCCUUGGAUCCUGAUUCUUAAGAAAGUUCAUGAAUCGUCUUGUGAGAAUCAUUAAUUCCUCAUCACUGCAAUCUUCAUUUGAAUGCCCAUCAUCUUCUUCAUUCACAACCUUGAAAGCAACAUUUUUGCUCUUUUUAGGAGCUAGAUGUUUCAUCUCAUAGGUUUGUAUGGACCCUAUGAGUUCUUGAACUUUCAAGGUGUUCAAGUUGCGGAUCUCUUCAAUAGCCGUGAUCUUUGGUUGAAAUCGUUGAGGCAAGGAUCUCAAAAUCUUUUUCACAACCCUGUCUUCUGGAAUUUUUUCACCUAAACUUGAACAAGCAUUCACAAUUACACACAGUUUAGCAUAAAAUUCAGAAAAAGUUUCAUUCUCAUCCAUCAUGAGUGUCUCAAACUGUAAAGUAUGCAUUUGAAGCUUGGCUCCCUUGACAGUAUCUGUUCCUUCAUGAGUAACCUGCAAAAUAUCCCAAGCUUCCUUAGAAGUAUCACAACCAGAUAUAUAUUCAAAUUGAUCUGAAGAGACAGCAGUAAAUAAAGCAUUUAACCUAUUUUGAUUAUUAGUGCUGUGUGUGACUUCUGCAGUGGUCCACUCCUCUCUAGCUUUGAGGAUUGUGGUUUCUUCAUCUCAUUUUCCGAUCUUCUUUGUGGGUUUAGGAAAUCCAUGAACCACUGUACUCCAUACACGUUCAUCUAAGGACCAAAGAAACGACUUCAUUUUGGCCUUCCAAGCGCCAUAGUUGUUGCCAUCAAAAUAUGGUGGAUGUGCAAUUGAGCCCGAUGCACGAUCCAUCCUAAGGUAUAUUAGAUCUUACUGAGUAUGUCCAGCAACCUGCUCUGAUGCCAAUUGAAAAUACCUGUAAGAUAUCUAUAUAUGCCUGGAGAAAGUUAAACAAGUUAAUUCGAAUUUUUUGCAAUAAAUAACGAUCAACCUUUGAAGCAGGAUUGAUAUUAGUUAUCAAUCCUGAGAUGUGCAAAGCUUAAAAUAAAAGAACACGCAGAGAAUUAUUUUACGUGGUAAAAUUCCACCUCUGGGAAAAAUCCACGGGACUCCUCAGUCCAACUCAAAUCCACUAUAGAACGAUGAUUACAAGAAGUACUCACACACUUAUCCUAGACUCAUUCUAGAUAAUGUUUACCGACUUCUUCGUAACUCAACUUCUGUCACGGGAUGAUCUUCGACACUCCUUAUGUUGAACGCAAUACUGGCCACGAUUGCUUCAAGCUCGCCGGAGGAAAACCGCCAUCACGGUCUUGGUGCACUCAACCGUAUGAGUCACCGACAUGCAUAUGAAUGCAAUAUGAAUGAUUAAAGUGUUUGAUAAAUCACCAAGUAAACAUGGAACACUUGAUGAUUUAUCUCAAAUAUGUGCACAACAGCUUUUGCUUAAGAAUUCUAUAUGCUCAACCCAAUAUCGAAAAGUCUCGAAAAAACCAAAGAGAUGCAAGCUGCUUUUAUUCAAAGCUUCCUAUACCUAGUCAGAUCAGAUCACACGAGUACCAAACCCACUUCAAUUAUAACUAUAAACUUUUAGCUUAAUUUGGACUCUUAUGAAGACCACAAUUGGUUUUCCAACAUGAAUACAAGUUCAAUAUGGAUUCUUAUUGAAAAACGCCAACCAAUCAAUUUUUAAUAGAAAAACAAUAUCUAUUAAACCAAUAUCUAUUAAAACAAAAAAACUCAAACUAGGAAUCCUAUAAUGAAUGCAUGAUUAUGUCAUAAUUUACCUGAAAUUAAGUUUCUCAUAUCGGUCAAGUCAAGCCUCGGAUGUAUGGAGUUGAAUGAGUUGUGCCAAAACGUCCAGUAACAAUUCUUCACACACUAAUUUUCAAUCUAUGCUAGAGUCUAGGAAAUGACAAUACAAUUUUCAUACUAACAUAGUCUUUGUGAAAUCUUUGAUCUGUCCUCAGUUACUACUGUGUGCAGAUUGUUAAACCUCAGUAAUGGGGUAGCUAAUGUUUUACAAGGACUUCAAGGCUUGUUUUGUAAGUUUUUUUUUUUUUUUCUUCCAAACAAUGGAGAAGGGAAGGGAGCUCUUCUAACAGUGAGAAGAGCAAUGCAACUUGGUUGAUAGCUUGAAAGAUGGAUGGUGGGAAGUCGAACUAGUAACUCCUAUAACUUCAAGGACAAUCCAUUCUUAUGAUAUUGCAUUUUCAAAAAAGUUGAAAGCACUAUCAAUUGAAUUCGAUAAGGAUAAUGAAGUUGACAUAGCUUUUCAGAGACAGAUUCUAUAUUGAUCAUAAUAUUCACAUAUUAAAUUCGAAUUCCAUAUAUAUAUGUAUAAUGAAGUUGAUACAUCUUUCGGAAAGGAUAGAUCCAUAUCUAAUAUAUUUCUCAUUGAAGUUACUACUUUAGGUUAUCAAUACUGAUUAGAAUCUUUCUAUCAUAUCAAGAAUUCUCCACUUAUUUCGUGAGUGGUUCUUAUGUGGAUGGUGGGAAGGUUAAUUAGCUUUGUGAGUAGUUUCAAAAUUCCUUGUCACACUCGGGAGCCAGAAUAGGGGAAAAGUAUGUGUCCUAUGCCUGAUGAUAAAGUAAAUAACAACUUAAAACCAAAAGAUCAACUUUCUUAUAGAAUAACCAAAAACAUAUAUAAAAACAUGAUAUACACUUAUGCUAUAACUUCAGCUCGCCUAACCCUCUAGAGAAAAUGUCCCAUAUUGGAAAACUAAUAAAUCUUGAAAGGAUUUAUAAGGAGUUGAACUACUCGUCAUUGCCAAUUGACUUUGGGGUGAAAGAACGAUUAGACACUUGAAAUUCUACAAUUGUCAACAAAUUCAUAGCUUUGUCCAACCAUGCAAUAAUAGAUUGUAUACUCAACAAAUUCAAAUAGUACCAAAGAUGCGUACCUUGUUUCUUGCAUGCCCUUCUACAAUAUCCUUUAAAAAGAGUACCGAAGAUGCGAUUAAAAGAAAUAAAGGAAGGGAACCUUUCUUAGUUCGGAUUUCUAAUAUUCACUUCUUCUUUUAUUCCAUAUAUACAAAGAGUACCGAAGAUGCGUACCUUGUUUCUUGCAUGCCCUUUUACAAUAUCUUUUAGAGCAAGGCCAGCGCACCCAACAAACUGGGCCAAAGGCAGCCCGAGAGAAGGAAGACCAGCUCCAGCGCGGAAGGAGAAGCCCGGGCAAGGCGUGGGUCCCACCAGCCCGGGCAGGCCCAAGGGCGAAAUCAGACUGGGCUCGAGCCCGAGUUGGAUGACGUCAUCACUGACGUCACGAUGACGUCAUCCAACCCCAGUGUCCAACGGUAACCUGCCACGUGUCAACACCGGGUGGCUCCGAUUGGUUUUUUUCCAGAAAUCCUACGGUUCUCAUUUUUUUGGCCAAAAAAAUUUAAAAAAUAUCCUAAAAAAUCCGAAAAAAUUCUGAAAUUUUUUUAAAAAAAAUACCAAAAAAGUAUGUAUUUUUUCCCUAUAAAUACCUAACCAUUUUAUCUACUUUCAACACCAAAUCUUCAUACAAUUUCUUCUCCAUACAAUAUUUUCUACUCUCCACUCACAUUAUUCAUUUUCCACACCAAUUCUCCAUACAAACUCAUCUCCUUCCAAUAUUUUUUACUCUCUACUCAUAUUUUCCACUUUCCACACCAAUUCCAUACAAACUUUUCUCCUUCCAAUAUUUUUUACUAUCCACUCACAUUUUUGUACUACUUUCCAUUUGUAGAAAAUAAACAAAUGGCAUCUUCUGUCGAAAUCGGAGGCUCGUGGUCAACCCAGGAAGAUAUUGCGUUAUGCGAGUCUUGGGUGAACGUUAGUCAUGACCCUAUCACGGGCAAUGAGAUGAAGUUCCAUCAUAUGUGGAGCAAAAUUCAUGGAGAAUUUUGUCAAAGAUCGGGUUCCAUUCGGACCGAAAUGGCUUUGUCUAGUAGAUGGAAACUUCUAAACAAAGAGUUAGGGAAAUGGAGAAAUGCCUUGACAAAAGCAAAGGACAACAUUCGGAGCGGUGCGAAUCUUUCCGAUGAGGUAAAAUAUUUUUAAUUGUCAUUUUAAUCAAUUUAAUGUAACUUUUUUUUAUUGCAUAUUCUAUUUCUUUUUGUUGCACAAUGUUUAUUUUAUUUUUGCAUUUCCUAAUUGGCUUUAUUUAUUUACAUAAUCAAUUUUAUUCUUGCAUUUCAAAUAUGUUUAUAAUUUCAUGCAUAAUCUUUAUUUUUUGUUUUUGCAUUUUCAAUUUGUCUAUAUUUAUUUACAUAAUCAAUUUUAUUCUUGCAUUUCAAAAUAGUUUAUAAUUUCUUGCAUUGUAUAUUUUUUUAAUGCACUUCCAAUUAUUUAUUUUGAAUAGAUCAUACAAGCACAAAUGUGGUUCGGUGCCAUGGGACAAGGGAAAAAAAGUUUUGUGCAUUUCCAAUGUUGGGAAAUUGUCAAGGAUUGUUCCAGAUUCAAAAUUAUUCUUACCGCACCCCCGGUUGUGUUGCAUGAGACGCCGCUCCACGAAUCGCCAUUAACCGAUUCACCAUUGGACUCCCCAAUGGAAACGGAGUCACCACUCCCACGUCCGCCGAGACCUAUUGGGAGAAAGGUGGCAAAGGCCAAGAGAGGGGGCACUUCGAACAUUGAUUGUGUUCAAAUAUUCGAGCAAAUAGCUAAGAACAACUCUCUAAGAUUGGAGAGAGACUUGAGGAGAGAUGAAGCGGACAAGGCACGAUUGGAAGCCUUUGCAAUUGAAAAGCAACAUGCAAAAGAAAAAGACGACGAUGAAAAAGAGAUGAAAAUCAUGGCCAUGGAUACGAGCCAUAUGUCUCCUGAAACAAAGGCCUAUUGGAAGCAUAAACGAAGGGAUGUGAUGAGAAGAAAACUUUUCCAUGACGACGGACCUAGCAAUACGGAUUGGCUAAAUGAUGAAAACCAUUAGAUUGUAUUGUUGUAUUUUUUUAUAAUUGUUUUUUAAAUUGUUGUAUUAUCCUUUAAUUUGUUGUAUUGUUUCUUUUUUAUUCAAUCAAAAAAGCAUUCUAUAAUUGGACUACUUAUUAAAAACAUUUGAGCAUUCCUCACAAAGAUUAAUUAAAAACAAACCUUCAUUUAUUGCAAACAACACACAAAACAAACCAUACAUAAAAGCAUAAUAAUAAAAAAGACCUCGCAAUAAUUCCACAAAACACAACACACAAAAACAAAGCAUGAUUAAAAAAAAGCAUAAAUCCAAACAAAGCACAAAUCUAGCCUUCAUCCAUUGUGAUUGCCUUUCAUCUGCCACAAGUGCUCGAUCAAGUCAACUUGACGUCUUUCGUGAACAUAUGAAGAUUGCAUUUCUUGAUAACGAUCAAUCAUGGGGUUGUUGAAUCGACCAUCCUGAAGUAACGGUUCGGGCUCCAAUGGUAGUCCAUUUGGUCCUAUCGGCCUUUCAUAUAUUCUUGUCAACGCCGUGUUCAUAGGAUCGGGUUCAAACACCUCUGGAGCAUCGUAGUCAUACUCAUCCUCCACAAUCAUGUUGUGGAGGAUGAUGCAAGUCAUCAUAAUACUCCUCAGCACCUCCUCGUCUAGCAUCCGAGCAGCACCCCUGAUAAUUGCCCAACGAGCUUGCAAGAUACCGAAACACCUUUCCACGUCUUUCCUGUAACCUUCUUGAAAGGAAGCAAAGCUUCUUUCCUUCUCGGAUUGGGGAUUCGGAAUUGUUUUCACGAAUGUCGUCCACCUAGGAUAAAUUCCGUCGGCAAGGUAGUAGGCCCCAGAGUAUAUGGUAUUGUUGAUUUGGUAUAUGACCUGAGGGGAAUGACCUCGCAAUACCUCAUCGAACACCGAGGAUUGACCAAGGACAUUGAGGUCAUUCUGAGAUCCGGCAACCCCAAAAAAGGCAUGCCAAACCCAAGUGUCGAAUGAAGCUACGGCCUCCAAAAUGAUACUUUUUUGGCCCUUCCGAUUCCCAUACUCUCCUUGCCACGCAGUAGGACAAUUCUUCCACUGCCAAUGCAUGCAAUCAAUGCUUCCGAUCAUUCCUGGGAAACCUCGAGCCUCGCCUUUUUGUAGAAGCCUUUGCAGGUCCCUCGGAGUGGGUUUGCGAAGGUACUCCCUCGUGUACAAAUUUUCCACUGCAUCACAGAAUCUCACCAAGCACUCUAGGAUAGUAGAUUUUCCCAUCCUUGCAAUCUCAUCCACCUGCUCUGCAGAUGCCCCAUAAGCAAGCAUCCGCAAAGCAGCUGUAAGUUUUUGCUCCGGGAUAAGACCCAAAACUCCAACAGCAUCAUGCUUUUGAAUGAAGUAUGUGUCGUAAUUACAAAUAUCAUGCAUGAUUUUUUGGAACAAAUGUGGCUGCAUUCUAUAUCUCUCUCGAAACUUAUGAGCAGGAUAUAACGAAUUUGGGAUAAAGUAAUCCUCCAAGAGAUUCUUACCCCGAGACUCUCUGCGUCUGUCCACAUUCGGGGCACGACGACGAUGGUGUUGGCUUGAUUGAUUCAUCAUACACACCGCCGCUACUUCAAGCAUUUCUUCCUCUUCUUCAUCGGCGUCCCGAUCUUCUUCCUCACGUCUACGCCGGAUUUCUUCCCAUUCUUUCUGUUGCCUCUCCAACACCCUCCUGAAGUUUGACAUUGAGAGUAUAAUGGGAAAUUGUAAAAUCUGAGAAAUGAAGGAAUAUAUCAGAGAUGGUGUGAGAGGAGUGGUGUUGAUGGUGUAGUUAUAUAGAGGGAUUCAGAAGAUAGAGAUGACACGUGGCACAAUUUUAGAGGGUGAAAAUCUUAUCUGAAAUCUGAGAUCACUAUUUGUAAAAAAAUAUCUGAAAAUCUUAUCAGACAUGGGACACGUGGCACAAUUUUAGAGGGUGAAAAUCUUAUCUGAAAUAUGACAUUAUAAUUUUUUUAAAUUAUCUGAAAAUCUUAUCUGACAUGGGACACGCGGCACAAUUUUAGAGGGUGAAAAUUUUAUCGGAAAUCUGAGAUUAUAAUUUUUAUUAAUGAAUAUCCGAAAAUUUUAUCUGGAAUAAGACACGUGGCAACCGAGAUUCACAUCCGAAAAUCUUAUCCGAAAAUUUAAUUACAAAAAAUUAUCAAAAUUAAUGAUUUAAAGUAUUAAAAAAAUAGGAAAUAAAGUACAAUGAAUAGUAAUUGCCCUAGACUUGCCCUAGACUUUGCCCUUGUGGGUGGAACCACAAAUGGCAAGGCUGACACUAUUCACGUGAAUAGUGUCAGCCCUUGCUUGCCCUUGCCUUAGACUUUGCCCUAAGGGGUGGAGUUGCUCUUAACGUGAUCAAAAUCUUCCUCUUGACAUCUCUGUUUUGAGAUUUCCGAGGAUAGAGAUUAUAAUAUCGGUGAGCCCCUCAAUGGAAAUCCAAUCCUUGUUAAUAGAAUUCUCUGGCAUAACAUUUUGCAUUUGGCUUAAGGCAUCUAACAUGGACGUCUCAACACCUGAUAACAACUUUGCCUUGGAAGAUCUUAUCUUGAGGCAGUAAUUAAGUUCUCUCCACUCUUCUAUUGAUUGCCACAAUGGAAGGUUACCUCUCCAUGAAGUAUCUUCAAGAACCUCAUGUGUUUCGAUGACUAACUAAUUUGAUCCAACGGUUAAGAGAUAGAAAGUGCCAUAUAUAAGGACCUCACUAUAGAAUUCUUGCCCUUAGCCAACUCCUCCUAUAUCAAAACCUACUGGCUAGGCAAAACCCCCUCAGACUAUUAGGAAAGAUGCCUUUGGUUCAUUGAUAAACAAAUGUCAUGAUUCUUCUGGUGGGCGAAAGAGAGUCAACAACGAUAUAAAAGAUCCUUAUCUACAUUUUUCCAGCUACAAAUGUAUAUUAACUUUUUAUUUUUAAUGAAAUGGCGAGGGAAAUUCAAUCUUGGGAUAUGUCAAAAUAAUAUUAUUAAGACCUAGUUGGUAUUGACUAUUUGAUGUCGGAUAUCAAAUUAUAAAUGCAAAGUUACAUUGUGUACUUUUAUUAAGUACGUGGAAUGUACAUUGUGACUUUAUGCAACCUACUUUGGGUAGUGGUUUGGAACAAUUGAGUUCUAACAUUUAUAUAGUGUGCGUGAACUUAAUAUAUUAUUGUUCCUAGAAAAGGUCCUUUAAAAAAAAAAAUCCUAACAAAAAUCAUUAUUGCAUCCAAUAUAAAUAGUUUUUAACCAAUCAAUAAGGCACAAUAAAGCCAGAUAUUGAAAUCCACCUUGCUAUUUUACAUACUCACUCAAGCACAACUCAGAUAUUGUAAAAUACUAACAUCUUUGGCCACUUUUCAAAUACAUCCACGCUUUUAUGAUAUUUGUUGAUGCUCUUUUUGGGGAGGUCAACUUAGAUAAAGGUAGAAUGAUGGAUGAUGUGUGAAGAUGUUGGCCUUUAGUAUGUGUGUGAAAAUUUGGACAAGAGAUAGAUAUAAAGAAGACUAGAUAUACGUUCACCCUUAAUGAAUGGGCUACGUCCACGGAGAAGUAUGUUCUCAUUAUAAUAAUGUAUGAUUAUAUUUGUACAUGGGGUUGGACUCAAAUAUAAAGAUAAGAAGGAUAAGCCCAUGAUUAAAGAUAAAGCCCAGCCCAGGGAUCUAGAAGAGAGUCUCUCUCUCAGGGGAGAGUAGUCUUCUUUUAUAGGUGAAAGGGAGUCUCCAUCUCUUGUAGUUUUCCGAUGUGGGACUCAUCUUGCUUCGCUUAGAGUUGUGACUUGUGGUAAUGCUUCUUUGGCUAAGGUGAUGACCUCUCAAGGCAUGGCACGUGGAUGAUCUAGCCUAGCUAGUUGCUCGGUCAGUUACGAUACCAAUAGUAGUCCCCCAAGUUCGCAAGUAAGAAGAUACUUCUUGAUUGGGGACUUGUAAUUUUAAGUGCAUUGGCCGAGCAACACUAUAGUUCAUCUUCCAAGCUGCAUAGUGCACUGCCCAUAGUCCCCCAAGUCCUAGGUAAGAAUGACAUUUGGAAGGGAGAUAACUUGGCACGAAGGUGCCGAAGGUGAAGGGGUUGUCGAAGGCACAAAGUUGCAUGUCGCAGGGUGAUGUGGCUAGGCACGAGAGUGCCAAAGGCAUAAGAAUUGCAUGUCCCAAGACGAUGGGCCUAGGCACUAGGGUGCCGAAGGUGACACAAAGCUUGCAUGUUUACAAGGCGAUGUGUUUAGGCAGGGGGGUGCCGAAGAAAAAGGGGAUGCCGAGGGUGACACAAAACUUGCAUGUCGCAGGAAAAUUACCAAAGACCAUGAGACUUGGUAAGAUGCGGAAGGGCGCUACCAUGAAUCUUGCAUGUCGCAAGAAAAUUACUGAAAGGCAUGUGGGUGCCGAAGAUGCAAGACUUGUAUAUCACAAAAGAAAGCGCGUAGGAACGAGAGUGCCGAUAAUAUAAAAACUUGCAUGUCACAAAUGUUGUGCUUCCUCUGGGUCUUCAAUAACAGAGUUUUUUUUUUUUUUUUUUUUUGGGGUCUCUAUCCGUUUCGGCCCGAUGCUUGCCGUUCGGCAAGCAGGCCAAGUUUGUUUCGGCAAGGCCUAGGGUUUGAGCAUAGGUAUUUAUGAGCUAUCAUUGUGUUUCAGCAUACCUUUGGCUUACAACAAUUUUGGUGAGCUCAUUUGGAAAGGAGGAGUCUCGAGCGAAGUCGGUUUUCUUGCCACCAACUUCGGUAGCGCAGGUCCUACCGUUCGACAGGGAGACUAGGAGGAAUUCUAGUGCUCUCCAUCCAAUAUUCCUUUUGCAGGUGGCAAGGUGAAAAAGUUUCGGCAUGCCCCGGUUGGGGUACGACAAUUGUCGUGAACAUGCAUGUUGAAGAGUUGCUGGUAGUCCCUAUCGAUCGGCAAGGUUAAUCUCUUUCUCAUCGGCAAGGGGUGGUUGGGCACUUGAAGUGUCGGCAAGUACGCACUCCUCAGCAAGGGGGCUUUCGAAGGCUUUGGCAAGUGGGAUGUGUGCCUAGUGAAUGGUAUUGGAUCUUCUGCAGAGCCUGGGUCUUCUAAGAGGCAAGGUUUCGACAGGACUAUCAUGGUGGUUUGAGCCUGGGUUUUUCGAAGGUUCUGUAAUGAGCUCAAGUCGGCAGCAUAGCCUUGCUGAACGACAAGGAUGACUUGGGAGCGUUUUGGAUGGUGUCUUUGCUCAGGUGAUCUAUGUUCUUGAUCAGCGGGCACGAGUGAAGGUCAACGCAAUCUGUGGGUUGGAGUAAGGGCCUGGCAGGUCUGCUUCAGUAUGUUUUGGGGCUGGCCUUAUGAGCUGGGCUGCGGAAGAGGGGUUAGGCAAGGUCUAGUUGAAAUGAGGUUUUAUCCAAGGAGGCUAUACGUUCACGGGCGCCCCGUGAGCUUCUGCACGACCCUUGCCGUUCGGCAAGGGUGUUUUGAUGAUUUUUGUUGGCCUAUUUGGGUGCAACACUCUUGUCGUUCGACAGGGAGUUGAGGAAAUGAGUUAUGAGCGCUGAUUCAGAAGAGACCGAGAUAUAUUGGAGCUAGGCUUCAGCACAUCUUCGGCUUCAGCAUGUCGGGUUCCCUUUGUCAUGUAGUUCAACAAUGGGGCCUUGCUGUUCGGCAUAGGUGGAUUUGUGCCAUCUAUGCGAUAGGCUCUUCAUAUGCUGAACUCCUCAUCUGUACUGUCGUUCAAUAAUGGGAUCUUUUGAGCUUAGAGUAACAGUUGGAAUGACAUUGACGUUCGGUGCGAUGGGCUCUUCAUAUGCUAAACCCUUAUUCAUAUGCAAUAUUCAUGAAUCAUAUUGUUGAAUAGGAUUGUGCAAUGAAUUAUUUAAAUAUUGCAUGCUUGUAUACAAUAUUUAUAUGUAAGAGGAGAAAUCUUACCUUGUGAUGAGGAUACAUAUGGGCAUCCUUCAGAGUUGAGCAAUUUUUCCUUGGCCAUGCGCAAGCCAUGUAUGGUGAUAUCCUUGGUGCAUGUGGAAUAUUUGGCCGUUUCCAAAUUGACUCUUUCAACGUGAUUGAAAGGUGGUUCCUUGGGCUGAAAUGGUGGAUUUCUCUUUUUGGCCAUGCAAGGCGAGGUGUCGAAGGCAUCGCUCACUUCAGAGAGGCCUGCCAAAGGCAUCGCAUGCGCCACAUGAUGACGAGGUGCCGAAAGUAUCACUCACGCUGAAUGACGACGAAGUGCCAAAGGCAUCGCUCGCGUCGAAUGAUGAUGAGGUGCAGAAAGGCAUCGCUCGAGCAAAAUGACGACGGGGUGCCGAAAGCAUCGCUCGCGUCAAAUGAUGGCGGGGUACCGAAGGCAGCGCCGAAUGAUGAAGUUUGUAGAACAAGCUCAAGUCCCCAUAUUUUUACUCUUCAAAGACGUGCCGAACAGCACUUUGAAUUGAGAUGGUAGUUUGGCCAUACAAGCUAUGCAAGCCAUGCAAAAUGAUAGCCAUACUCUGACUGGCUUUUCCUUAAAAUAUCAUAUUUUGCAAUUUGUUGCCUUAUGCAAUUUGUUGCUCUAGUAAGGUAUUGCUGAACCACUUAGGUGAUGUUGAUUGUAUGGGUGCCCAAGGGCACUGAUGAAUGGGAGAACGACAUAAGCUUUUUGGGAGGGUCAACUUAGAUAGAAGUGAAAUGGUGGAUGAUGUGUGAAGAUGUGGGCUUUUAGUAUGUGUGUGAAGAUUUGGGUAAGCGAUAAAUAUAAAGAAGAUGAGAUAUACGUGAUUCACCCUUAAUGAAUGGGCUACGUCCAUGGAGAAGUAUGUUCUCAUUAUAAUAAUAUAUGAUUACAUUUGUAUAUGAGGUUGGACCCAAAUAUAAAGAUAAGAAGGGGUAAGCCCAUGAUUAAAGAUAAAGCCCAAUCCAGGGAUCCAGAAGAGAGUCCCUCUCUCAGGGAAGAGUAGUCUUCUUUUAUAGGUGAAGGGGAGUCUCCAUCUCUUGUAGUUUUUCGAUGUGAGACUCCUCUUGCUUUGCUUAGAGUUGUAAUUGUGGUAAUGCUUCUUUGGAUAAGGUGAUGACCUCUCAAGGCAUGACACGUGGAUCAUCUAGCCUAGCUAGUUGCUCAGUCAGUUACGGUACCAACAAUAUUAAAACAAACAUAAUUAAUUUACAUUGCAUCCUGGGUCACAAAGAAUCUCAUAUUAUACUUAACCAAAAUAAUGUAAUAUGUAGGAUAAACUAAUAAACUUCUCAUUUUGUUUACAUAUGUUAUAAAUUAAGUUAAUUUUUUCAAUAAUUUCUAAUCUUAAUUUGGGAUAGAAGUCAUACAUUUUGAUAAGAUUUUUUUUUUUUUUAAGACUUAGAAAAAAAUAUUAAAAAACAUUUCUAUAAAAAAAUAAAAAUAAAGCCUAGCAUGUUAAGCCCAUAGUAGUCCUCUCCGGCCAAUUAGGCCUGUCUAGGCCUAACCGGCCUUUGAAACCUUGGUCCAGCCUGCCCCGUAUCCAACUAGAACCCAAAAAUUUCGGAUCGGGCUGACGAACUAUACCUCAGGAUACUUAAAAAUGUUUUUGGCACCCAUUAUAUUCUUCUAUGGUGUUUAAUUAAUUUCUUUUUAAAAUUAUGAGUACUUUUUGAACCCAUUAUUUCUCUAUUUAUUUCGAUCUUCAUAGGAUCUAGAGGGCUAAAUAGCUAUUGUAAAGCAACAAUUCCCUUUAUUUUUUAUUUUAAAAAAGAUUCUCUAUCAAAUAAAAUACUUAUGAUAAGAGAAAAUCUGUUUCCAAGGACAUAAUCUAAAAGUUAAAUAUUGACAAACAAAAAAAUCUAAAAAUCUAAAAAGUUAAAUGUUGAAUUUGAUAUUUAAUGUCAAGCUUCAUUAAUUUAUUAGGAGGACAUCUACAUAAAAACGUGGCUUAUAGAUAAGAAAGGAGCCUCAAAUACCGCAUCAGCUCUUAUUUUAGUGUAAGAUAUUUUACUACAUUUUAUUAUGGCCUUGUUCAAUUGCAUGCUUGCAACGAGAGAUUGCCAUUACAAGAUUACACAAACAGAUAUAGUACCGACAUUGUUGUCCAAACAUCCGGGCCUGAUACGGCUGUACGUCCUACCAUUCAUUUUAGCUAAGCCCUUCAAGUAGUCAACGUCCUCUUCCGAAAUCUUAGCUCUGAUUUUAACGAGGCGUGGGUCGUUCUGAUCAAUUCUUUUGUUGGAGUUGACAAAUCCCUUCAAGUAGUCAAAGUCCUCCACAGAGAUCUUAGCUUGAAUUUUAGCGAUGCGCGAUUCGUCCACAUUAAAUGUUUAACAAGGAAUUCAAGGCUUGUUUUGUAAGUUCUGUAUUUUUUUCCGAUCAAUGGAGAAGGAAAGGGAGCUCUUCUAACGGUGAGAAGAGCAAUGCAACUUGGUUGAUAGCUUGAAAGAUGGAUGGUGGGAAGUCUAAGUAGUAAUUCCUAUAACUUCAAAGACAAUCCAUUCUUGUGAUAUUGCAUGUUUAAAAAAGUUGAAAGCACUAUUAAUUGAAUUGGAUAAGGAUAAUGAAGUUGACAUAGCUUUUCAGAGACAGAUUCUAUAUUGAUCAUAAUAUUCACAUAUUAAAUUCGAAUUCCAUAUAUAUAUGUAUAAUGAAGUUGAUAAAUCUUUUGGAAAGGAUAGAUCCAUAUCUAAUAUAUUCCUCAUUGAAGUUACUACUAUAGGUCCCCAAUACUGAUUAGAAUCUUUCUAUUAUAUCAAGAAUUCACCACUUAUUUCGUGAGUGUUGUCCUUAUAUGGAUAGUGGGAAGGUUAAUUAGCUUUGCGAGUAGUUUCAAAAUUCCUUGUCACACUUCAGAUCCGCAAUAGAGUAAAAUUUUGUGUCCCAUGCCUGAUGAUAAAGUAAAUAACAAUUUAAAACCAAAAGAUAAACUUUCUUAUAGAAUAACCAAAAACAUCUAUAAAAACGUCUUCCUCUUGACAUCUCUGUUUUGAGAUAUCCAAGGAUAGAGAUUAUAAUAUCGGUGAGCCCCUCAAUGGAAAUCCAAUCCUUGUUAAUAGAAUUCUUUCGCAUAACAUUUUGCAUUUGGCUAAAGGCAUCUAACAUGGAUGUCUCAACACCUGAUAACAACUUUGUCUUGGAAGAUCUUAUCUUGAGGCAGUAAUUAAGUUCUCCCCACUCGUCUAUUGAUUGCCUCAAUGGAAGGUUACCUCUCCAUGAAGUAUCUUCAAGAACCUUAUGUGUUUCAACGACUAACUAAUUUAAUCCAACAGUUAAGAGAUAGGACCUCACCUAAGAUCCAUAUAUAAGGCCCUCACUAUAGAAUUCUUGCCCUUAGCCAACUCCUCCUAUAUCAAAAGCUACUGGCCAGGCAAAGCCACCUCAGACUAUUAGGAAAGAUGCCUUUGGUUCAUUGAUAAACAAAGGCCACAAUUCUUCUGGUGGGCGGGAGAGAGUCAUCAACGAUAUAAAAGAUCCUAAUCUAUAUUUUUUCAGCUACAAAUGUACACUAACUUUUUAUUUUUAAUGAAAUGGCGAGGAAAAUUCUAUCUUGGGGUAUGUCGAAAUAAUAUUAUUAAGACCUAGUUGGUAUUGGCUGUUUGAUGUCAGAUAUCAAAUUAUAAACGCAAAGUUACAUUGUGUACUCUUAUUAAGUACGUGGAAUGUUCAUUGUGACUUUAUGCAACUUAUCUUGGAUAGUGGUGCAAUUGAGCCUUAAUAUUUAUGUAGUGUGUGUGAACUUAGUAUAUUAUUGCUCCAUCUCAAUAGGAAAAGUUCACAUCAUGGUAUUUACCAAAAAAUAAGAAAGGUCCUUUAAAAAAAAAAUUUCCUAACCAAAAUCAUUAUUGCAUCCAAUAUAAAUGGUUUUUAAUCAACCGAUUAGGCACAGUAAAGCCAGAUAUUGAAAUCCACCUUGCUACUUUUACAUUCUCACUCAAACACAACUCAGAUAUUGUAACAUACUAACAUGUUUGGCCACUUUUCAAAUACAUCCACGCUUUUAUGAUAUUAAAACAAACAUAAUUUACAUUACAUCCUGGGCCAAAAAAAAUUUUAUUUUAUACUUAACCAAAAUAAUGUAAUAUGUAAAAUAAACUAAUAAAUUUCUUAUUUUGUGUAUUUAUCUUAUAAAUUAAGUUAAUUUUUUUCAAUAAUCUCUAAUCUUAAUUUGUGAUAGAAGUCAUACAUUUUGAUUAAGAAAAUUUUAAGACUUUAAAAAAAAAAUUCUAUAAAUAAAUAAUAAUAAAAAACUAGCAUAUUAGGCACAUAGCAGUCUGCCCCGGCCAGUUAGGCACAUCUAGACCCAGCCGGCCCUUUGAAACCUUGUUCCAGCCUGCCCCGAAUCCAACUAGAACCCAAAAAUUUCAGACCAGGCCGACGAACCCCACAUCAGGAUACUUGAAAAUGUUUUUGGCACCCGCUAUAUUCUUCUAUGGUGUUUAAUUAAUUUCUUUUUAAAAUUAAGAAUACUUGUAUUUGAACCCAUUAUUUCUCUAUUUAUUUCCAUAUUUAUAGGAUCCAGAGGGCUAAAUAGCUCUUGUAAAGCAUGUAAAUAUAUAGUGCGCACCCAUUAUUUCUCACAAACAUAAACAUUUGUGUUACGAUUAAGCAACUAUUUGAGAAAGAAAAAGAAAAUCCAUUAAAUCUCUUGGUUUGCACUAGAGACAAAAUCUGUUUCCAUUGACAUAAUCUAGAAAGUUCUCCAUUAUUUUAUUAGAAGUACACUUACAUAAAAACGUGGCGUAGAGCCCCCCUAGCCAAGGAAGAAGCCACAGAUACUGCAUCGGCUCUUAUUUUAGUGUAGAUAUUUUAUUGUGGUACACACAUAUUAAUUAUUUAUUAUGGCCUUCUUCAGUUGCGUGCAUGCAACGAGAGAUUGCCAUUACAGGAAUACACAGCCACCGAUAGUGACGUUAUUGUCAAAACCUCCGGGAGGUGCCCGGAAACAGUUGGCCGUAUGGCUAUUUCCAAAACUUCCGGGACGGGCCCCAAAACAGCUGGCCGUCCUAACAUUAUUGUUAGCGAGGCCCGUGUUGUUUACACUAAAUCUUUUGUUGGCAAGACCCUUCAAGUAGUCAACAUCUUCCUUCGAGAUCUUAGCUUUGAUUUUAACGAGGCGUGGGUCGUUCUCAUCAAUUCUUUUGUUGGAGUUGGCAAAUCCCUUCAAGUAGUCAAAGUCCUCUACAGAGAUCUUAGCUUUGAUUUUAGUGAGGCGUGAUUCGCCCACAUCAAAUCUGUUGUUGGAGUUGGGGAUGGGAAAUCCCCUCAACUGAUUACGGCCCGUAGCUUUGAUUUGAUCAUUCCCACCCCAAAUUCCAAUAGAUUUGGGGUUGAUUUGAUCGUCCCCACCCCUAAACCCUAAAUAACCUUGGUUGUCGAAGUUGGUUUGAUCUUGAUUCGACUUUAUUAUCUCUGUCAGUCCCGUAAACCCUGAAUAGCCUUGGUUGCCGAAGUUGGUUUGAUCUUUAUUUGACGUCAUUGUCUCUCUCACUGAUUAGUUUUUAGGUUAUGGUGUGUGUUUGCUCUGAUGACCAACUCAUUGCCUCAUGGUUGGUCUCCUUUUAUAGUUGUUUGCAUAGACAGAUUCUAUACAUUUUAUCUUCUUGGAAUAAUAUUCUACAAUGAUAGACAGUACAGUCGUAGUGGCCUUUCUUGUUAGAGGAUCUUUUUAACCCUUUUCACAAACACUUGGCAAUACAUCUCACUCAAGUUACUCAUGACUCUAUACAGUGGCGGAUUGUUUAGGCUAAACUGUUAAGGCAUUUUUGUAGAACAAAUGAGUCAUUUCCUAUCCAAUUAUUAUUUUUUAAAUAUAAAAAUAAUAAUAAUUUUAAAAUAAAAACACACACACUAAUACUCUACAAUGAACCCCAACCUACCCUAGAAACUCUUUGUCUAAUAAGCAGAACAAGAAGGUUUUUUAUUUUUUUAUUUAUUUUUUUUGAGAACCCCUUUAUAGAUAAAUUCAUCACUAAAAUUUAAGAUUUUGAGCUAUCUCUUCUUCCUUUUCUUUCUAUGUCUUUUAAGAUUUCCAGAUAAUUGUUUCCUACGUAUCAUUUUUAAUUUCCAAAUAAAAAUCACAAUAAUCACAUCAACACAUAAUAAAGCAAGAAACAAUAAUAAUAAAUCAACUUUUUAGAGCAAUAAUUUGAUUAAAGGAUCAAUGAACAAUAAAACCUGGAUUUGUGUGCUUGCUUGCGUAAUGAAAUGAACAUAUUUUCAAUUACCAAAAAAAUAAAUGAACAUAUUUUUGAGUUAGACGUAGACCAGCCUAUUUGACCCAAAAAAAAAAAAAAAAAAAGACUUGGACAUUGGCCUACUUUUCUUUAUUUUAUUUUGGCUUAUUAUCACAAAACGCCCUUAAGGUUUAUGAAACUAUCAGAUUGCAUUCUUAAUGUUUUUUUUGUGUCAUUUGUGGUUCUCAAGGUUAGUAUGUAUGAUCACAAAUGGUCCCUGCCGUUAGGUUAUGCAAAAAACUCCAUUAGUUUGCUGACGUGACAUAUAUAUAUAUCACAAAACAUCCCUGAGGUUCACGCACCUAUUACAAAUGGUCCUUACGAAUUUUUUUAAUUUUUAAAAUUUAAAAUUCAUAAAAUUUUUGUUUUCUUUUUAAAAUUUUAUGAAUUUAAAUUAUCUUCAAACAUAUAUUAUAUUUUAAAUACAUGUGACACUAUAUUAUUGUAGAUGUGGGCUCCAUAUUUAUGCCACAUCAACAAACUAAUGGAGUUUUUAAAAAAUAAUUUAAAAUUUAUAAAAUUUAAAAAUGAAAAAACUAAGGUUUUAGUGUUCAUAAAUGGUCCUCAAGAUUAAAAUCCUUCUAUAAAUGGUUUUUUCAUUUAUAAAUAAUUUUAACAAGAAAACCAAAAUUUUAUGAAUUUAAAUUAAAAAAUAAAAAAAAUCGUAGAGACCAUUUGUGAUAGGUGUGUGAACCUUAGGGAUGUUUUGUGAUAUAUAUGUAUGCCACGUCAGCAAACUAACGGAGUUUUUGACGGAAUCUAACGGCAGAGACUAUUUGUGAUUGCACAUACUAACCUUGAGGACUAUGAGUGACACAAAAAAAGUUAAGGAUGCAAUCUAAUAGUUUCGUAAACCUUAGAGGCGUUUUGUGAUAAUAAGCCUUUUAUUUUUUUAGUUUUUUGUUGCUACAACUACAUGCCCAUCACUUUGCGCUUAGUGUUGCAUCAGUAUCUGGCCUACCACUUUUUGUUUUUUAAGUUUUUUGUUGCAGCAAAGGCUGCUUUCUCCACUGCCUUUCUAGCCUUUCGUCGAGCAUCUUGUGUGCAUUUGAGGUGCCCGAGCUUCUCGUCAUGGGGUUGUCUCAGACCUCCAUAGGCUGUCCACAGACACAUUUUCGGCCAUCUCAUGGGAUCAUGUGACCCCUCUUGUCCCUGAAUGGGUCUGCCCCUGACUCUAUAUGUACAGUCAGCAGGCUUCACAUGUAUUUAACAUGUUAGUUGUUAGAAACUGUUAAGAGUUUGUUAGUUUGUUAAUAGCUUACUUAAGCUUUAAGUAAGCAUACUAUAAGUAUGCUAAUGUAUACUGUAAUUCAUUCUUAACAAAUAUGCAAAUCAGAAUAUACUUCUUCUUCUUUGAUUUCUCUCUGCCUUUUCUCUACUUUCUCUAGCUUCCUUCAAUUCUAGUCUCUGUGAAAUCUUUGAUCCGUCAUCAGUUACUACUGUGCGUAGAUUGUCAAUCCUCAGUAAUGGAUUAGCUAAUGUUUAACAAGGAAUUCAAGGCUUAUUUUGUAAGUUUUUUUUUUUUUUUUUUUUUUUUCCGAACAAUGGAGAAGGGAAGGGAGCUCUUCUAACAGUGAGAAGAGCAAUGCAACUUGGUUGAUAGCUUGAAAGAUGGAAGGUGGGAAGUCGAACUAGUAAUUCCUAUAACUUCAAGGACAAUCCAUUCUUAUGAUAUUGCAUGUUUAAAAAAGUUGAAAGCAAUAUCAAUUGAAUUCGAUAAGGAUAAUGAAGUUGACAUAGCUUUUUAGAGACAGAUUCUAUAUUGAUCAAAAUAUUCACAUAUUAAAUUCGAAUUCCAUAUAAUGUAUAAUGAAGUUGAUUAAUCUUUUGGAAAGGAUAGAUCCAUAUCUAAUAUAUCCCUUAUUAAAGUUACUACUAUAGGUCCCCAAUCUUGAUUAGAAUCUUUCUAUCAUAUCAAGAAUUCACCACUUAUUUCGUGAGUUGUCCUUAUAUAGAUGGUGGGAAGGUUAAUUAGCUUUGCGAGUAGUUUCAAAAUUCCUUGUCACACUCUAGACCCAGGAUAGAGUAAAAAUCUGUAUCCCGUGCCUGAUGAUAAAGUAAAUAACGAAGGUGUUUUAACGCUAGUUUACAGAGCUUUAGGUCCCGUCAUACACAAGAAGUCUUAAACUACGUUUUCUUUUCGCCUACGUCGUUGUAGUUGAUGGAGUUGCCUGUGCUAAAGAAGCCUGUCUUCACUGAGAUUCUAAGAGAUUCCUCACUCAACUUAAAACCAAAAGAUCAACUUUCUUAUAGAAUAACCAAAACGUCUAUAAAAACAUGAUAUACACUUAUGCUAUAACUUCAGAUCUCCUAACCCUCUAUAGAAAAUUUCCCAUAUUGAAAAACUAACAAACCUUGAAAGGAUUUAUAAGGAGUUGAAUUACUCCCCAUUGCCAGUUGAUUUUGGGGUGAAAGAAGGAUUGGACACUUGAAAUUCUACAAUUGUAAACAAAUCCAGAGCUUUGUCCAACCAUGCAAUAAUAGAUUGUAUACUCAACAAAUUGGCCGCAAUUUUAUUAUAUAAAAAAUAGUAUAGCCGCACGGGGACUAAAUUGGCCAAAUACAAGGACUAUUUUGACAUUUAAGCCUACAUAAUAUACACAUAGGAGGAAGACAUGCAACGAUCAAGACCACUUGCGCCGCAAGUUCCUCUCUAAUUGAUCUUUCACUUUUUUAUUGUCAAUCUAUACAUAAAUAACAUUAGAUGAGACCAAACUUAAACAUAUACUUUUAAAUUUGCACUAAUCAAAUUUUAGCAUAAUUUGGGAACAGUAUACUCACCUUCAAUUUUGAUAGUUUAUCCUUUACUACCUGUCUACUUCAAUUAUCGGAAGAAAACUGUAUCAAAAAUAGUGUCAUCUUCAAAAUUCAAGAGACAAAAGGAAAAUCCUUUCAUUUCUAUAUAAGAAGCCAAGUUUAACAAUAAAACAAUUAAUAAGAAAUUGCUAGAGGAUUAAAGGAACAUUUUCAUAAUUUGCUACCUUAACACUAUGAUAAACACAAUUUUGGGUCUAAAGGGGCCUUAACAAUGUAAAAUAGGAGGACUAUAUGCAAUUGUGUGCUACCUUAACAUUAUGAUAAACACAAUUUUGGGCCUAAAGAGGCUUUAACAAUGUAAAAUAGGAGGACUAUAUGCAAUUGUGUGGUAAUGCAAAAUGGUAAUUUUUUUAAUUUAAGUCUCGUCACAAAUACUAUGUCAAAGAAAGUAGAGGCAUUUUCUAUGUUCUACUACAAUGCAUACAUCAACAUUUGGUUUUGCAUCUUUUUUUUUUUUUUUUGUCGCAUGUAUUUUUAUUUUUAACAUGCUAGCAUCUCCAUUUGCUACACUGUGGACCCAUUCCUGUAUUUUUAUGUAAAAUUAACCAUAUGAAUUCGCCAUUAAAAAUACCUACAAAUACCAUGAUCCUACAUAAAACAGCAAAUGUACUCAUAUCUCAUUAACAUAUUUGAAACUGAAAAUACCUGUAGGAUAUCUAUAUAUGCCUGGAGAAGGUUAAGCAAGCUAAUUCGAAUUUUUGAAAUAAAUAAUGAUCAACCUUUGAAGCAGGAUUGAUAUGAGUUAUCAAUCCUGAGAUGUGCAAAGCUUAAAAUAAAAGAACACGCAGAGAGUUAUUUUACGUGGUAAAACCCCACCUCUGAGGAAAAUCCACGGGACUUCUCAGUCCAACUCAAAUCCACUAUAGAACGAUGAUUACAAGAAGUAUUCACACACUUAUCCUAGACUCAUUCUAGAUAAUGUUUACCAACUUCUUCAUAACUCAACUUCUGUCACGGGAUGAUCUUCGACACUCCUUAUGUUGAACGCAAUACUGGCCACGAUUGCUUCAAGCUCGUCGGAGGAAAACCGCCACCACGGUCUUGGUGCCCUCAACCGUAUGAGUCACCGACAUGCAUAUGAAUGCAAUAUGAAUGAUUAAAGUGUUUGAUAAAUCACCAAGUUAAACAUGGAACACUUGAUGAUUUAACUCAAAUAUAUGCACAACAGCUUUUGCUUAAGAAUUCUAUAUGCUUAACCCAAUAUCAAAAACUGUGCAAAACCAAAGAGAUGCAAGCUGCUUUUAUUCAAAGCUUCCUAUAUCAAGUCAGAUGGCUGCACACGAGUACCAAACCCACUUCAAUUAUAACUAUGAACUUUUAGCUUAAUUUGGAUUCUUAUGAAGACCACAAUUGGUUUUCCAACAUGAAUAUUAUUUCAAUAUGGAUUCUUAUUGAAAAACGCCAACCAACCAAUUUUUAAUAGAAAAACAAUAUCUAUUAAAACAAAUGAAUUAGACCAAUCAAGUAAGAGAAGAUUUCAACCUACAAGUCAUAAUAGGAAAAGAUAAUAUUUUAUUUCAACCUACAAGUCAUAAUAGGAAAAAAUAAUAUUUUAACUUAAAUCAAAAUAGAGUCCAACUAGAAAAGUAAUCUUAAGAGAUAAAGUCUAAUCCUAUUAAAAAUAAGAUUAACAUAAAAAUACUUGAUUGAAAAAAAAACUCAAACUAGGAAUCCUAUAAUGAAUGCAUGAUUGUAUCAUGAUUUACUUGAAAUCAAGUUUCUCAUAUCGGUCAAGUCAAGCCUCGGAUGUAUGGGGUUGAAUGAGUUGUGCCAAAACGUCCAGUAACAAUUCUUUACACACUAAUUUUCAACCUAUGCUAGAGUCUAGGAAAUGACAACACUAUUUUCAUACUAACAGAAACCUUCUCUUCAUACAAUUCUGGUUUACAGAGUGGGGUGAUUUUGUUGAAUAUGAAGACUUAAUGACCAUAUUCAGCUCCUGAAUAAUCAGAUUUCCUCUGUUCUUUCAAUUCUGUAGCAAUCUUUGUUCCCACCUCCUUUAUUUUGUUGUUGAAGUAGUGGAAGCAUUUCAUUGCAUAAAAUCCUAUAACAACUCCCUGCUAAUUGUUACAUCAAUCUUCCUUUGCUGCCAUUGAAUCAAUCUCAUAAAAUUAAAGACUAUUAUUGAUAUGUCACAUGAUUGUAAGGAAGUAUCAGCAUCGUCAUAUAAACAUAGUUAAAAUUCUCAAAUAGUUCAAAAUGCUAAACGAAGAAACAAUAGGUCACUACCAAGAUAAUCAUAUAUAAAAUGUUUACUUGACAAUAAAGAAUAAGAAUCACAGAGACAGAGAAGUACCCAAAGAAAUGUAGUAAUUUAAUGAAAACCACAAAGAGAAUAUGGAUUUAAGGGUAAGAAUACAAUUCACUACGAAAAAUGAAUACAAUCUUGUACUUCUUCAUCCAUUCCAAAUGAAGGCAAAUGGAAAAGGCAAAAUCAAAUUAAGAAAAUCUCUAAGUUGCUUUUGUUCCAAAGAAAGAGUUCAUACAAUGUAUGCAUUAUUUUGCAACUGAUAAUUUUAGGAUAUAUUUAUUGUUUAGAUAAUACUUGUGUUAACAUUAGUUAUUAUUGUCAAGAUGAGAAUGAUGACAUUUUCCUAAUGGUUAUGUGAUAAAGCAAACGAUUAAACAAAUCGAUAGCAAAGAAGAGGACAGAGAAGAAACUGAGGGGAGAAAAUUAAUUGAUAUCCUGUAUAAGAAAUAGCAACGCAAGCAGGAGGACAUAGAAAUGAUAUCUUGUUAAAUUCACUCUCUUGCAUAACAAUAUUAACUGAGGAAGACAAAAGAAUAAACAUGAGUAAAUGAAUUUAUGCAAGAUUGCCCCAGAUAUUUAAAUAUCUGCAAAAAUCAACUCUCUUACAUAGUCUUUCAGCAAACCGUUAGAAAAACCAAAGACAAAAAAAUUAAGCAAAAGAAUAAACUGAAAACAAAAAUUUUAAAGCUGAAAAGAGUGGCUUCGAGGCAUUUGAAAACCACAAUGUAAAAGCUGAAGGAAAAAACAAAUAUUUCAGAAAUAAGUCAAACAAACACACAACCACAAUGAUACACACAAACAUAUUUCAGAAAAAUGUAUACUGUAAUUCAUUCUUAACAAAUAUGCAAAUCAGAAUAUACUUCUUCUUCAUUGAUUUCUCUCUGCCUUUUCUCUACUUUCUCUAGCUUCCUUCAAUUCUAGUCUCUGUGAAAUCUUUGAUCUGUCAUUAGUUACUAUUGUGCGUAGAUUGUCAAAAUCCGCAAUAAUGGGUUAGCUAAUGUUUAACAAGGAAUUCAAGGCUUGCUUUGUAAGUUUUGUUUUUUCUCCAAUCAAUGGAGAAGGAAAGGGAGCUCUUCCAACGGUGAGAAGAGCAAUGCAACUUGGUUGAUAGCUUGAAAGAUGGAUGGUGGGAAGUCUAACUAGUAAUUCCUAUAACUUCAAGGACAAUCCAUUCUUGUGAUAUUGCAUGUUUCAAAAAGUUGAAAGCAAUACUAAUUGAAUUCGAUAAGGAUAAUGAAGUUGACAUAGCUUUUCAGAGACAGAUUCUAUAUUGAUCAUAAUAUUCACAUAUUAAAUUCGAAUUCCAUAUGUAAGUAUAAUGAAGUUGAUAAAUCUUUCGGAAAGGAUAUAUAUCUAAUAUAUUCCUCAUUAAAGUUACUACUAUAGGUCUCCAACACUGAUCAGAAUCUUUCUAUCAUAUCAAGAAUUCACCACUUAUUUCCUCGAGUUGUCCUUAUAUGGAUGGUGGGAAGGUUAAUUAGCUUUGCCCAAAAGAUCAACUUUCUUAUAGAAUAACCAAAAACAUCUCUUUGCUUCCUGCUGGCAGCGUCUUCUUUCUCCUUUCUUCUUUCUGAAAUCUGCUAGCUCUUUGCUUAUUAUCUCCGCCGGCUCUAAAGGCACUCCAACUGCCAUAUCUAUGUCUGUGAGCAUGUCAUUUGCAAAACACUGGUCAAGGGUCUGAUCUUUAAGACCCUGGUUUAGCAAAUUAUAGAUAAUAAUCUCAUUCUUAGGGCAUCACCAAUGCGGGGGUCUAUAAGGGGAUGUAUGUUAAAUUUACAUCCGUUGUGAUCGGAAUCACCCGCAAUGGGGGAUGUAAAUGGACGUAUAAUUACAUCACCACCAUGAGAUGAAAAUAUAGAUGCAAUUGUACAUCUAUUUUUACAUCUCUUGCAGGUGGGACCCAGUUGGGAAAAUAAAGAAAAAAUAGAGAAAAGUCAGCAUAAAAAGUGAGACCCACGGUUACAGUAAUUUCUAGAAGAAAAAAAAAUCACCUGUUGUUUGCUCAUUUGUGGUUUUCAUGCUCCCCCAAUGUUUUUGGAUGAAAUCAUAUCUUCUCCGAAUUUAAAUAUUUUUAUAUACAAAAAAAAUUAAUUUUAUAAAGUAAACACAAAAACGAAUUAAGACAAACAAAACAAUUAUACAUCUUAGAUUUACAUCUUUUUGGAGCAAAAAAACGUAUUACACCCCCCGAAGAUUUAAAGAGAAUGUAAAAGUGGCUUUACACCCCCCAUUAGUUAUGCUCUUACAGACACACAAAUAUUCAUGUACAUUGCUACAAAUUUCGGGAGGGAAAAGUUAACAAAUCUUUCAUCUCUCUUGGGGAAAAAAUUAACACACACACACACCCCAAUUAGCAUACUAAUUGGCCAAGGACAGAAACUUACAGUUGAAUCGUAGGAAACUAAAAGUAAUACCUGUUCUCAAACAACUAAGAAAGCAUAAACAAACAAAAGCUAGAAGUUCAAUGAUUUAGGAAAUUAAAGUUAAAAUUAAUCAUAGUUAGAAAACUACUAUUUGAUACGUGGAACGAUUUUGUGUGCUACGAGUCAAUGUUUGUAGAAUUGGGCCUGGUUUGGUUCAUCUCCUCUUUCUCUGGGCUUUGCUUUUUUUUUUUAAAAACAUUAGUAAUGAAUCCCCAAAACCCCAAGCCUACAAGUAAAACUUAAUUUGGAGAAAAAAUUAGUUACAAUGGGAUAAUAUUAUUUUACUAUUAUCGGCCAUUAAUGCUAUGACACGUAUAAUAAUUUUUUCAUGUAGCAAAACGUUAUUGCCCCCGGUUUGAUGUAAGUGUUUCUCCCUCCAAUUUGACAUACAAAUCAAGAUCCCACAUUUGAAUAUUCUUGGAUUAGGCAUGUAUUAAACUUAAUGUAGAUUUGCAAAUCUAAUGCCCUCUUUGCUGUGGUCUAACGAUGCACACAAGAAUCCAAUUAUGCGAGGCUAUUGGUCCAACUAAUAAACAAAAACAUCCAGCUAAUUAAUUUCUUUUUAAAAUUAAGAGUACUUGUAUUUGAACCCAUUAUUUCUCUAUUUAUUUCCAUAUUCAUAGGAUCCAUAGGGCUAAAUAGCUGUUGUAAAGGAACAAGUCCCUUUAUUUUUUAUUUUGAAAAAAAGAUUCUCUAUCAAAUAAAAUACUUAUGAUAAGAGAAAAUCUUUUUCCACUGCCAUAAUCUAAAAGUUAAAUAUUGACAAACAAAAAAAAUCUAAAAAUCUAAAAAGUUAAAUGUUGAAUUUGAUAUUUAAUGUCAAGCUCCAUUUAUUUAUUAGAUGAAAAUUUACAUAAAAACGUGGCCUGCAGAUAAGAAAGGAGCCUCAAAUACCGCAUCAGCUCUUAUUUUAGUGUAAGAUAUUUUACUACAUACACACAUAUUAUUAUGGCCUUGUUCAAUUGCAUGCUUGCAACGACAGAUUGCCAUUACAGGAUUACACAGAUUUUAAUAUGGAUAAUAUGUCCCUGCACAAGGCCGUCCUCAUCAAAUCUUUUGUUGAAGUUGGAGUUGGCAAGUUCCUUCAAGUAGUCAACGUCUUUCUCCGAGAUCUUAGCUCUGAUUUUAGCGAGCCGUGGGUCGUUCACAUCAAUUUUUUUGUUGGAGUUGGCAAAUCCCUUCAAGUAGUCAAAGUCCUCCACAGAGAUCUUAGCUUUGAUUUUAGCGAGACGCGAUUCGUCCACAUGAUCAAAUCUGUUGUUGAAGUUGGAGUUGGAAAAUCCCUUCACCAGAGGGCCGCCUUUAGCUUUGAUUUCAUCGUCCCCACCCCUAAACCCUAAGCUGGGUUGAUUUGACGUCAUUGUCUCUCUCACCGAUUAGUUUUUAGGUUAUGGUGUGUUUGCUCUGAUGAUCAACUCAUU
rnacentral:lncRNA from 1 species